AGAAGCUAGUGCUAUGGAGUCUAGAGUAGUUCUUAUGGGUCAUGCUCUGAUAUAUGUAACAUCGGGAGGGAAUGUUUUAAUUAAUUUGAUAUUGGUGGUUGAAUGAUUUACAUGUAUUGUGUUACAUGUUUUACAUUGAUGUUGGAUUUAUUCCGCUGCGAAUUAUGCAAAAGAACCUUAUUUUGAUUAAAUAAAUGAGCAUGACAGGACAUUU
rnacentral:lncRNA from 1 species